GAUGAACGCUGGCGGCGUGCCUAAUACAUGCAAGUCGAGCGAACAGACGAGGAGCUUGCUCCUCUGACGUUAGCGGCGGACGGGUGAGUAACACGUGGAUAACCUACCUAUAAGACUGGGAUAACUUCGGGAAACCGGAGCUAAUACCGGAUAAUAUAUUGAACCGCAUGGUUCAAUAGUGAAAGACGGUUUUGCUGUCACUUAUAGAUGGAUCCGCGCCGCAUUAGCUAGUUGGUAAGGUAACGGCUUACCAAGGCAACGAUGCGUAGCCGACCUGAGAGGGUGAUCGGCCACACUGGAACUGAGACACGGUCCAGACUCCUACGGGAGGCAGCAGUAGGGAAUCUGCCGCAAUGGGCGAAAGCUUGACGGAGCAACGCCGCGUGAGUGAUGAAGGUCUGCGGAUCGUAAAACUCUGUUAUUAGGGAAGAACAAAUGUGUAAGUAACGAUGCACGUCUUGACGGUACCUAAUCAGAAAGCCACGGCUAACUACGU
rnacentral:rRNA from 1 species